CCCGUGCCUGCUUGGCUGGGCAUCAGACCCCUGCAGCUUCGGAGGGCAGAGUCUAUAGCUAGUUUAAUAUUAACCUGGACUGUCCCUUUCCCUGUGCCUUGCACCCCUCCCUGGAGACCAGCGGCCUCAGAGACUGCCAGACCCAGGUGACAGAUCCUUAGCAUCCUCUGCAAGGCUGCACAGGUGUGAUGUCUGCACCUUCAUGUGCACACAACCAACUGUGGGACAAGCUUAGCAACUUUGUGUCUGCAAACACUCCUGAUGCAAAGAAGUCUGUGUGAGGAACUAACUGUCCAUAAUGAAAACUGCUGAAGGUCAGUCCAGCCUCCGAAAGUUGGUUUGCACUGGCGGGUCCCUGAAGGCAAUGGAGGUGCGGCGAGGAGCAUGGGCGGGGUCUUCCUCCCCACGCCAGG